rnacentral:rRNA from 1 species
AACGAACGCUGGCGGCGUGCUUAACACAUGCAAGUGGAGCGACGAACCUGGCUUCGGCCAGGGGCAAAGCCGCGAACGGGUGAGUAACACGUGGGUAACGUACCCCGAUGACUGGGACAACCCGGGGAAACCCGGGCUAAUACCGGAUGUGGUUCACCUACAUCAGUAGAUGAACUAAAGGUAGCUUCGGCUUCCGCAUCGGGAUCGGCCCGCGGCGCAUUAGCUUGUUGGUGAGGUAAAGGCUCACCAAGGCCGCGAUGCGUAGCUGGUCUGAGAGGACGAUCAGCCACACUGGGACUGAGACACGGCCCAGACUCCUACGGGAGGCAGCAGUGGGGAAUCUUGCGCAAUGCACGAAAGUGUGACGCAGCAACGCCGCGUGGGGGAAGAC